rnacentral:rRNA from 1 species
GAUGAACGCUGGCGGCGUGCCUAAUACAUGCAAGUCGAGCGAACAGACGAGGAGCUUGCUCCUCUGACGUUAGCGGCGGACGGGUGAGUAACACGUGGAUCACCUACCUAUAAGACUGGGAUAACUUCGGGAAACCGGAGCUAAUACCGGAUAAUAUAUUGAACCGCAUGGUUCAAUAGUGAAAGACGGUUUUGCUGUCACUUAUAGAUGGAUCCGCGCCGCAUUAGCUAGUUGGUAAGGUAACGGCUUACCAAGGCAACGAUGCGUAACCGACCUGAGAGGGUGAUCGGCCACACUGGAACUGAGACACGGACCAGAGUCCUACGGGAGGCAGCAGUAGGGAAUCUUCCGCAAUGGGCGAAAGCCUGACGGAGCAACGCCGCGUGAGUGAUGAAGGUCUUCGGAUCGUAAAACUCUGUUAUUAGGGAAGAACAAAUGUGUAAGUAACUAUGCACGUCUUGACGGUACCUAAUCAGAAAGCAACGGCUAACUACGUG